GACGAACGCUGGCGGCGUGCUUAACACAUGCAAGUCGAACGGAAAGGCCCUGCUUUUGUGGGGUGCUCGAGUGGCGAACGGGUGUGUAACCCGUGAGUAACCUGCCCUUGACUUUGGGAUAACUUCAGGAAACUGGGGCUAAUACCGGAUAGGAGCUCCUGCUGCAUGGUGGGGUUUGGAAAGUUUCGGCGGUUGGGGAUGGACUCGCGGCUUAUCAGCUUGUUGGUGGGGUAGUGGCUUACCAAGGCUUUGACGGGUAGCCGGCCUGAGAGGGGGACCGGCCACAUGGGGACUGAGAUACGGCGCAGACUCCUACGGUAGGCAGCAGUGGGGAAUAUGGCACAAUGGGCGGAAGCCUGAGGCAGCAACGCCGCGUGCGGGAUGACGGCCUUCGGGUUGUAAACCGCUGUCGCCUGUGACGAAGCGUGAGUGACGGUAAUGGGUAAAGAAGCACCGGCUAACUACGUG
rnacentral:rRNA from 1 species